GUUUGCUUAAAUCUUACCCAGACUCACCAGCUCCAUUUCACUACACCAAACUUAAUCAUCCUGUUCCCCAAGGUGUGUGUGUGUGUGUGUGUGUGUGUGUGUAUAUAUCCGCUCAGCCAGAAUUUCCUCAGGCAAUGGCACCCCUGCAAUCUGCCCGCCUCCUCUGUUCAGGGUGCCCAUCUCUUCUGCUUAAGCAACGCUUGAGUCUCAUUCUUGUAUGUUUGUGGUAGUGGGGAUUGAACCCAGGGGUACUUUACCACUGAGCUAUAUCUCCAGUCCGUUUUUUGUUUUGUUUUGAGACAUAUCUUGCUAAGUUGCUUAGGGCCUCAUGAAGUUGCUGAGGCUAACCUUGAACUUGAUAUCCUCCUGCCUCAGCCUGCCAAAUCCCUGGGAUUGCAGAUAUGCCUCACAGCAGCCACCGGCCCUUGGGUUCUCAUUCUUGAAUCACCACAGUUACUUUCUUUUUGGUUGCCUGCUUCCAGCCCCCAUGACUCUUUCCUGCCCAUCUGGGGCCCCAUGGAUCUUCCUAAAAGCAUUGCUGUAUUCUCCUGCAGAAUAUCUCCAUGGUCUUCAUUAUCAACAAAGGAUUUUAAAAACAUUUUUUUUUUGAAAUUAUGAAAUUUUUAUAUUUUUAAAAAGUCAAAAUAAGCUGGGUGAGGUGGUGCACACCUGUAAUCCUCAUGGCUUGGGAGGCUGAGACAGGAGAAUCCCAAAUUCAAAGCCAGCCUCAACAACUGCAAGUAGCUAAGCAACUAAGUGAGACCCUAUCUCUAAAAAAAAAAAAAAAAUUCAAAAUGGGGCUUGGGAUAUGACUCAGUGGUCGAGUACCCCUGAGUUCAAUCCCUGGUACCAAAAUAAAUAAAUAAAUAAAUAAGUUGGACACAGUAGUGCAUCCUGUAAUCCCAACAAUUUGAGAGGCUGAUGCAGGAUGAUCACAAGUUCAAGGCCAGCCUGGGCAACUUAGCCAAACCCUGUCUCAAAAUAAAAAAAUAAGAAGGACUAAGGACACAGCUCAGUGGUAGAGUACCCCGGGCUCAUUCCCUAGUACCACAAAGAAAAAAAAAGUCAAAAUAAUCUUACACUAUAAAAAAACAUGUAUAAUUGGGCAAUUAAAACGUGUAUUAUACUAACUAAAAUAAAUAUAAAUACAAUUAAAGUAUGUAUGCAAUUUUAUAACCAAACAUUUGCAGUAUGUGAUCUGAAGGUGUGAUGCAGGUGUGAUCUGAACCCUGUCACAUUUCUGGGCCUCAGUUUCCUCAUUGGCAGAAAGACAGGGUCAGAUGAGAUGUUCUCCAACUCUAAGAGCUUGUGACUCUAUCAAUUUUUAUGUCUAUCUUGACUAUCUGGGGUGGGUAUUAAGUGCCUGGAAAUAAU
rnacentral:lncRNA from 1 species